GACGAACGCUGGCGGCGUGGAUUAGGCAUGCAAGUCGGACGGUAGGGCUUUAUCGUAAGAUAGAGUUUGAGAGUGGCGAACUGGUGAGUAACACGUAGGUUAUCUACCCUCAAGACGGGGACAACCCAGGGAAACUUGGGCUAAUACCGGAUGUGAGCAACUUUUAGUUGUUUGAAAGGUGGCGUAAGCUGUCGCUUGGGGAUGAGCCUGCGUCCUAUUAGUUAGUUGGUGAGGUAACGGCUCACCUAGGCAAUGAUAGGUAGGCGGCCUUAACGGGUGGUCGCCCACACUGGGAUUGAGAUACGGCCCAGACUCCUACGGGAGGCAGCAGUCGAGAAUAGUCUACAAUGGUCGGAAGACUGAUAGUGCGACGCCGCGUGAACGAUGAAUCCCUUCGGGGUGUAAAGUUCUUUUAUAUGUGAGCAGUGCUUCUUAUAUUAACAGUAUGGGGAGAGAGAUAUUAGCAUAUGAAUAAGCAACGGCUAACUCCGUGCCAGCAGCCG
rnacentral:rRNA from 1 species